ensembl:antisense Gm12963 predicted gene 12963
GGAGGGAGACCGCGAGGGUUCGGCGGCUGCGGAGGCACUGGCCAUUGGGCUGCACCGCCGUGCUCCUGGCCUGGCCCUAUGCCCGGGCCCGCCCGUCCCGCUUCCCCAGCCAGGUGAACAAGCUGCCAGUCUGUGGUCAUCCGCAGAGGGACGCUUUACUGGACAGGUCCUACAAGAAGCCAGGGACUCCUGGAUUGAUGUCUGGAGCUGUGCAGUGCCACCAUAGCAGAAGGGGACAUACCAGCCUGGAGCAGGCACUAAGGGACACUGAGAGCUGGGGGCGGGGGGGAAGGAUUUCCCCUGCUCUUGCCUGCUCAGGGGCAGCAGGAGCUGGGGCCGCAGGGUGUUGGACUUCCUUUUUCUCCUCAUGCCUAGGAGCUUCCUUGUGGAGCCCAGCAUCCUCCUCCCAGAGACCUUGGACUCAGAUGUUAUCAGAUGUCCACCCCCAGAACUCCCUUCCUCUCAUCUCCAGGGACUGUUGCUGGCCUACAGCCCAACCAAUGAGCUUAAAUCGAUCUCUGUGAUGAGCCCCAAUUACUGGUCUCAGGACCCUGCCUCAGCAUGCGUCUGGGGUUCCAGGAGAAAGAAGAUAGGACAGUCAUACACCAGCCUUUUCCCUCAGGUAUCCUCGGGACUUUUUCCUACUUUCC